GGAAGACUUGCUCUUCUCCCCAAAUCUCUUUUCUGUGCACUGUUUUUGUGUGCUGGGCUAGCUUUGGCUGGGUCAGCACGGGGUGGAGCUUGGAAACUGUUUGCUAUGAAUUUUCCCCCGGGAAAGUUCCGCUGGAAAACUUUUGACAUCUCCGCCGAAAUUUAAUACUAAUACUGACUGACCAUGAAAAAGUUAAUAUAACAACUUUCAGCAAUGGAUCUCUCGGCUUUCGUAUCGAUGAAGAACGCAGCGAAUCGCGAUAUGUAGUGUGAUCUGCCUCUAGUGAAUCAUCAAAUCUUUGAACGCAUCUUGCACCCUUUGGUAUUCCAAAGGGUACGCCUGUUUCAGUAUCAUUAUAACCUUUCUCCCCAAGGCUUUUUGGCCAAGGAGGGAAAGAGCAUAACCGGUGGCCCAGCGGUCUCCCAUCAGGGGGAUUGUCUCGGCUGGAAUGACUGUUGCAAUGGUGGGCCAAAUGGUCUCCCGCACUUGAUAAAUGUACUUUUAUAAAGAGCGGGGCCGGUCUGCCGAAAGUUGUAACUAAACCCUUUACCUUUGAUCUGAAAUCAGGCGGGAUUACCCGCUGAACUUAA
rnacentral:rRNA from 1 species